rnacentral:rRNA from 1 species
AUGCAAGUCGAGCGAAUGGAUUAAGAGCUUGCUCUUAUGAAGUUAGCGGCGGACGGGUGAGUAACACGUGGGUAACCUGCCCAUAAGACUGGGAUAACUCCGGGAAACCGGGGCUAAUACCGGAUAACAUUUUGAACCGCAUGGUUCGAAAUUGAAAGGCGGCUUCGGCUGUCACUUAUGGAUGGACCCGCGUCGCAUUAGCUAGUUGGUGAGGUAACGGCUCACCAAGGCAACGAUGCGUAGCCGACCUGAGAGGGUGAUCGGCCACACUGGGACUGAAACACGGCCCAAACUCCUACGGGAGGCAGCAGUAGGGAAUCUUCCGCAAUGGACGAAAGUCUGACGGAGCAACGCCGCGUGAGUGAUGAAGGCUUUCGGGUCGUAAAACUCUGUUGUUAGGGAAGAACAAGUGCUAGUUGAAUAAGCUGGCACCUUGACGGUACCUAACCAGAAAGCCACGGCUAACUACGUGCCAGCAGCCGCGGUAAUACGUAGGUGGCAAGCGUUAUCCGGAAUUAUUGGGCGUAAAGCGCGCGCAGGUGGUUUCUUAAGUCUGAUGUGAAAGCCCACGGCUCAACCGUGGAGGGUCAUUGGAAACUGGGAGACUUGAGUGCAG